rnacentral:rRNA from 1 species
AUUGAACGCUGGCGGCAGGCCUAACACAUGCAAGUCGAGCGGAGCGGCGGACGGGUGAGUAAUGUCUAGGAAUCUGCCUGGUCGUGGGUGAUAACGUCCGGAAAUGGGCGCUAUUACCGCAUCCUAUCAGAUGAGCCUAGGUCGGAUUAGCUAGUUGGUGGGGUUAAGGCCUACCUAGGCGGCGAUCCGUAGCUGGUCUGAGAGGAUGAUCAGUCACACUGGAACUGAGACACGGUCCAGCCUCCGACGGGAGGCAGCAGUGGGGAAUAUUGGACAAUGGGCGAAAGCCUGAUCCAGCGAUGCCGCGUGUGUGAAGAAGGUCGUCGGAUUGUAAAGCACUUUAAGUUGGGAGGCGUUACCAACAGAAGAAGCACCGGCUAACUACGUGCCAGCAGCCGCGGUAAUUC